rnacentral:rRNA from 1 species
AGCGAUGAAGGGACGCGGCGUGGUAGGUCAGCCUCUUAACGGAUUGAGGUGCCAAACGCGUAGGACGUUGAAGGGUGUAGGUAAGUCCGCACCCCGAGUCCGAAACGUGAUGGCGGUGCCUUAGAGCCACAAGUGAUUGAGCCAUGCCGCCUAGAAAAGCUUCUAAGCGUUGAUAUUUGAGUGACCGUACCGCAAACCGACACUGGUAGGUGGGUAGAAUAUACCAAGGGGAGCGAGAGAACCCUCGUUAAGGAAUUAGGCAAAUUUCCCCCGUACGUUCGCAAUAAGGGGGGCCUCUGGUGGUGAGCUUAAUCGCAAAGCUGCUGGAGGCCGCAGAGAAAUGGCUCUUCCAACUGUUUAACAAAAACACAGGUCUCUGCUAAGUCGAAAGACGAAGUAUAGGGGCUGACGCCUGCCCAGUGCUGGAAGGUUAAGGGGAGAGGUUAGGCGCAAGCCGAAGCUUUGAGCCGAAGCCCCAGUGAACGGCGGCCGUAACUAUAACGGUCCUAAGGUAGCGAAAUUCCUUGUCGGGUUAGAUCCGACCCGCACGAAUGGCGUAAUGAGAGGAGCACUGUCUCAACGAGGGACUCGGCGAACAUUGAAGGACGUGUGAAGAUACACGUGACCCGCAGCGGGACAAAAAGACCCCGUGAAGCUUUACUACAACUUGCCAUUGAGUUAGGGCUAAACCUGUGUAGUAUAGGUGGGAGGCUUUGAAGCUGGGACGCCAGUCUCGGUGGAGCCACCGUCGAAAUACCACCCUGGUUUAUUCUUGGCUCUAACCUGUCGCCGUUAUCCGGCAUGGGAACAGUGGCUGGUGGGUAGUUUGACUGGGGCGGUCGCCUCCGAAAGCGUAACAGAGGCGCCCAAAGGUUCCCUCAGGCUGAAUGGAAACCAGCCGUUGAGUGUAAAGGCACAAGGGAGCUUGACUGCAAGACCAACAAGUCCGCAGGGACGAAAGUCGGGCUUAGUGAUCCCACGGUUCAGAGUGGAAUGGCCGUGGCUUACCGGAUAAAAGCUACUCCGGGGAUAACAGGGUAGUCUGGUCCAAGAGUUCAUAUCGACGACCAGGUUCGCCACCUCGAUGUCGGCUCAUCACAUCCUGGGGCUGGAUAAGGUCCCAAGGGAUGGGCUGUUCGCCCAUUAAAGUGGUACGUGAGCUGGGUUCAGACCGUCGUGAGACAGGUCGGUCUCUAUCCGCUGUGGGCGUAAGGGAUUUGAGAGAAGCUGCCCCUAGUACGAGAGGACCGGGGUGGACGGACCUCUAGUGUGCCAGUUGUUCUGCCAAGAGCAUUGCUGGGUAGCUACGUCCGGCAGAGAUAACCGCUGAAAGCAUCUAAGUGGGAAACUCGUCUCAAGAUUAGAUCCCUCAUCCGUAUGGAGUAAGACCGCUAGAAGACUACUAGUUUGAUAGGCGGCAGGUGUA